ACCUACGGGAGGCAGCAGUAGGGAAUUUUCGUCAAUGGGCGCAAGCCUGAACGAGCAAUGCCGCGUGAACGAGGAAGGUCUUCGGAUCGUAAAGUUCUGUUGAAGGGGAAAAAGAGCGGAGAGAGGAAAUGCUUUCUGAUUGAUAUUACCCUUCGAGGAAGUCACGGCUAACUACGUGCCAGCAGCCGCGGUAAUACGUAGGUGGCGAGCGUUAUCCGGACUGAUUGGGCGUAAAGGGUGCGUAGGCGGCCUGCUAAGUCUGGAGUGAAAGGUACCGGCUCAACCGGUACAGGCUCUGGAAACUG
rnacentral:rRNA from 1 species